rnacentral:misc_RNA from 1 species
GAUGAAGAACGCAGCGAAAUGCGAUAAGUAAUGUGAAUUGCAGAAUUCAGUGAAUCAUCGAAUCUUUGAACGCACCUUGCGCUCCUUGGUAUUCCGAGGAGCAUGCCUGUUUGAGUGUCAUUAAAUUCUCAACCCCUCUAACUUUUGUUGGAAGGGGCUUGGAUAUGGAGGCUUGCUGGCCAUUUGUUAAAGAAGGUCAGCUCCUCUGAAAUGCAUUAGCGGAACCGUUUGCGAUCCGUCACAGGUGUGAUAAUUAUCUACGCCGUGUAUAGUCGCUCUCUGUCUGUUCAGCUUCCAAUCGUCUUCAUGGACAAUUCUAUUGAAUAUUUGACCUCAAAUCAGGUAGGACUACCCGCUGAACUUAAGCAUAUCAAUAAGCGGAGGA